rnacentral:tRNA from 1 species
UUCUUCUAGUAUAACAACUAAUACAGAUGACUUCCAAUUAUUUAAUCUUGGUUAAACCCCGAGGAAGAAUA